GUGGGGAAUAUUGGACAAUGGGCGAAAGCCUGAUCCAGCCAUGCCGCGUGUGUGAAGAAGGUCUUCGGAUUGUAAAGCACUUUAAGUUGGGAGGAAGGGCAGUAAGUUAAUACCUUGCUGUUUUGACGUUACCGACAGAAUAAGCACCGGCUAACUUCGUGCCAGCAGCCGCGGUAAUACGAAGGGUGCAAGCGUUAAUCGGACUUACUGGGCGUAAAGCGCGCGUAGGUGGUUUUGUAAGUUGGAGGUGAAAUCCCCGGGCUCAACCUGGGAACUGCCUCCAAAACUACUGAGCUAGAGUACGGUAGAGGGUAGUGGAAUUGCCUGUGUAGCGGUGAAAUGCGUAGAUAUAGGAAGGAACACCAGUGGCGAAGGCGACUACCUGGACUGAUACUGACACUGAGGUGCGAAAGCGUGGGGAGCAAACAGGAUUAGAAACCCCAGUAGUCC
rnacentral:rRNA from 1 species